UCAGUGGAGCUUCUGGUUCAGGAUCAUGUAGCCACAGUCUCCUCCACUCUGCAGUAUGUGAAUGAGGAAGAGCGCCCCCUGGAGGCCUUGUUCGUCUUCCCUCUGCCUGCUGAUGCUGCUGUCUGCCACUUCAGUGCCAAGAUCGGAGAGCAGGAGAUUGUGGCAGAGGUGCAGGACAGAGAAACACCACUCAACCGGCUCAGCCACCAGUGUCUGAACGAACUAAAUCUAAAUCACUAAUAGCUGCUCCUGAGCUCCAGAAGGACCUGUUACUGCAGCUGGUUUCUCUCCAAAAGGCGUCCGGCUGCUGGGAUCUGGACUCCACACUGGCUGAUGUGUUUGGGAAGACGGAGGAU